GCUGGGCCUGGUGGCUCAUGCCUGUAAUUCCAGCUACUUGGGAAGCGGAGGCAGGAGUAUCUCUUGAGGCCAGGAGUUCGAGAACAGCCUGGGCAAUAUAGUGAGAUCCCCAUCUCUUAAAAAAAAAAUAAUAAAUUAGCUGGGUGUGUUGGUGCAUGCCUAUAGUUCCAGCUACUCAGGAGCAUGAGGCAGAAGAAUCACUUGAGGCCAGGAGUUUGAGGCCCAUGGGGCUAUGAUUGCACCACUGUACUCCAGCCUGGGCAACAAAAUGAUAUCUUGUCUCU
ensembl:misc_RNA Metazoa_SRP Metazoan signal recognition particle RNA